AGAGAGAGAGAGAGAGAGAGAGUUUUCCUUCGACGUUUCAUAAUUAUUCCUCGAUUUUGUUCUCGUGUUUCGCAUUCCUAAUUGUAACGCUGAUUUUUUUUUCUCUCGUUUUCUUGCAGGUAAGCUUUGUGGCAUAGAAAACGGAGAACAUGGAGAAAGUAAUCCAUCCAGGCCCAGUGAUCAGCGCGGCACACAGUAAGGUCACGUGAUCGCUGGUGGGUGUGACGUCAUGCAGGUGAGACACACACAGGUGGGAUCAGAAACCGUCACGUGUUUUCACUUAAAUUACUAAAAGGGAAAGGAAUAACAAAAAUAGAGAAGGAAAAUUAAAUAUGAGCGUGGGAAAAAUACAUGACGAUAACAAAGAAGACGAUAAUUGUGAUGAUAAUGGAUAAAUACCGUGGGAGUUCUUAUACAUUUCUUUCUUUCUUUCUUUCUUUCUUUCUUAGCUCAGUUUCUUUAAGAUGUUUAUAAAUUGACUUUCCUCUAACUUCACAAUGUCAUCUAAUUACCUCAUUCUUUGCAUCUAACCCUGCCACUAUGUCUCUUUUCUCCCUGACUGACCCUCCCUGCCCCUGCCAUCCUUAUACAGCCUUUAUUCCUUGUUCCCUUUCCCCUGUAGCCUUGUCAAACACCAUUCUUUUGUUUUUUAUCUUUCUAACCCUGCCACUAUGUCUCUUUUCUCCCUGCCUGACCCUCCCUGCCCCUGCCAUCCUUACAUCCUCUAUUCCUUGCUCCCUUUCCCCUGUAGCCUUGUCAAUCAUCAUUCUUUUACUUUUUCUUUCCCUAAUCCUUUCCCCUGUCACGUCUAUGCUCUCCCUGCCUGAACCUAUCUGCCCCUGCCAUCUUUACAUCAUCUAUUCCUUACUCCCUUUCCCCUGUAGCCUUGUCAAUCCUACACAUUUAUCUCCCUGUUUCCGUGGUCCUGUUUUCUUUUUCUUUUUUCAACCCUGUCUUUCUUAUAUCCUCCCUGCUCCUCUUCCUCUCCCUUUCAACUCCCUACCACUUCCUCAGCCCUUUAUCUCCCUGCCUCUCUUCCUCCCCUGUCUUUCUUCCUCUGUCUCUUCCCUCUAUCCCUUUCUUCAGUAUC